UACGCCCAAAAUGGCGGCAGGAUUGAAAAGUUUGUUGCUGUUUUUGUUUUAUUUUAUUAUAUCUGUUCGGUCUCUGUCCCCCUUUUAAUAAAUUCCAAGUUUUACCUCGACAAAUAAGGUUACUCGUUUCUUGACGGUCCACGAGCACGUGAUUCUGGAUCGUCGGUUUGUUUAGGUAGAUCGCCGAAGCGCCGCCGUUGACGUGUAGGAGGCAGAUGGCAGUGAAUUGGUGGACAUCACCACAUCCAAUACAGCGAAAAUGAAGAGCAUUUGUACGUAGAGAUGGAGGAGGAUGUAAAGAAAGUCAAAAAGCCAGGUAUUGUGUCUCCGUUCAAGCGGGUGUUUUUGAAAGGGGAGAAGGGUAGAGAUAAGAAGGCUCUGGAGAAGUCCACUGAACGCAGGGCCCUCCACACCUUCUCCCUCUCUCUCCCAGACCACCGUAUCGACCCAGAUAUUCUGCUCAAUGACUACAUCGAGAAGGAAGUUAAGUAUCUGGGACAGCUGACCUCAGUUCCUGGAUACCUGAAUCCCUCCAGCCGCACUGAAGUUCUUCAGCUCAUUGACAAUGCCAGGAAGUCUCAUCAGUUAGCGGGGCAGCUGACAUCAGAGCAGGAUGCUGUUGUCAGUUUGUCGGCGUACAAUGUGAAGCUUGUGUGGCGUGACGGAGAGGACAUCAUUCUGCGCGUACCCAUCCACGACAUUGCAGCUGUGUCCUACAUCAGAGACGACUCGCUUCAUCUAGUGGUGCUAAAAACAGCUCAGGAGCCCGGAGGUUCCCCAUGUCAUAGUACAGAGAUGUCGAAAUCUCCCACUCUGAGCUCUUUGUCGGAGAGUGGGGCUGUGCUGGUGGAGGUCUGCUGUCUGCUUGUGCUGGCUGUUGACAACAAGGCUGCAGCAGAGGAGCUCUGUCUUCUACUCAGUCAAGUCUUCCAGAUCGUCUACACCGAGUCCACCAUCGACUUCCUAGACAGGGCCAUCUUUGAUGGAGCCACAACACCCACCAGGCAUCUCUCAAUCUACAGUGAAGACUCCUCAAGUAAAGUUGAUGUCAAAGAUGUGUUUGAGGCUGAGGCAAGCACAUUCUCGUUCCAGAGUUCUCUAGAGGCGGGACAUUCCUCUAGCCCCUCCCCCACCUCGGCCCCGGCCUCACCACAAACCAAAACAGCCAGUGAGAGUGAACUGAGCACAACAGCUGCUGAACUGCUGCAAGACUACAUGACCACAUUGAGGACAAAGCUGUCAUCUAAGGAGAUCCAGCAGUUUGCCACACUGUUACAUGAAUACAGAAACGGCGCCUCCAUCCAUGAGUUCUGUAUCAACCUGCGGCAGCUUUAUGGAGACAGCAGGAAGUUCCUCCUUCUCGGACUGCGGCCGUUCAUCCCUGAGAAGGACAGCCAGCACUUUGAGAACUUUCUGGAGACCAUCGGCGUGAAGGACGGCCGCGGCAUCAUCACAGACAGUUUCGGCCGUUAUAAGCGCACGACGAGCUCUGCGUCAGACUCCACCACGAACGGAAACGGUGCUGCGGGCGGAUCAGAUGAGGGAACGGCCACGUCUGAGGGCGACGAAUGGGACCGCAUGAUUUCAGACAUAAGCAAUGACAUUGAAGCCUUAGGAAGCAGCAUGGACCAGGACGGCGUGCCAUCUUGAUGCCACGGCUCUCGGUGAGCUUUAGCCAAUCGCCACACACCGGCCAACAGUCCGUAUUGCUGUCAAUUUGAAUCUGACAAUGCUGGAUUUUGGAUGCUGUAUGGAUACCACUUCCUGACAGUCAAUUUUAUUUUCGUAUGUCGUGCCAUAUUGUUGAGCGGUUUUAAAGAGCUGUGAUGGAAGGAUGUGUAUUGCUGUGGACAGCAGUCAUGUUCCUCUGGGAUGUUUAUUGGCAGUAUCUGCUACCACUGAAGAAAAAACCUUGUUGUUGGGAUAGUGGAGGACAGACAGGAAAGCAUUGGGAGCAGAGAGAGGGGAAGGAUCGCCAUAGGACCUCGAACCUGGAUCAAACUCAGGUCGCCGUGAGCACCAUAGUGCUAUAUGUUGGCGCACUUAACCACUAGGCUAUUGGCGCCGACGCGUUUACAUUUCCAAGAUGUCAGACUUGUCCAUGUGUCUGUAGCGGCUGAAUGUUGCAUCUAUGAAUGCAUAACUCUGACUCUAAAGAUAACAGCAUAGAGGAACAAUGUUGUUGGAAACACUUGCACAACAUCUUUUCUUUUCUUUCCAAUAGAAGCUGCAAAGCUACAGUUUAAGUCAGAAUUAUUAGCUUUUUUAAAUAUUUCCCAAAUUAUGUUUAACAGAGCAAGGACAUUUUCACAGUAUGUCUGAUAAUAUUUUUUCUUCUGGAGAAAGUCUUAUUUCUUUUACUUCAGCUAGAAUAAAAGCAGUUUUUAAUAAAAAAAAAAAAAAUUUUAAGGUCAAUAUUAUUAGCCCCUUUAAACUAUAUAUGUUUUCGAUAGUCUACAGAACAAACCAUCAUUAUACAAUAACUCGCCUAAUUACCCUAACCUACCUAGUUAACUUAAUUAGCCUAGUUAAGCCUUUAAAUGUCACUUUAAGCUGUCUUGAAGUGUCUUGAAAAACAUCUAGUCAAAUAUUAUUUACUGUCAUCAUGGCAAAGAUAAAAUAAAUCGGGUAUUAGAAAUAAGUUAUUGAAACUCUUGUGUUUAGAAAUGUGUUGAAGAAAUCUUAAACAGAAAUCAAGGAAAAAAUACACAGGGGGACUAAUAAUUCUGACUUCAACUGUAUAUGUAAACAGUCAUUGUUCUGAACCAUAAGCCCUUUUAUGCUAGCAGUUGAAACUAAAUGUAUGGAAUAGUUAGUAUCACUUUUUUUAUUUUGGUGUAUUAUUAUUAUUAUUAUUUAGCAAGCGUGUAUAAUUUUUCAGCCCCUAAAAGAUAGUUUACCUAUUUUUUUAAGUGUUCAGAAGGAAAAAGGUGUUUCCUAGCCUCUUAAAUUAUUUUUGCACCCCCAAAACAAAAUCAUGCCACUCAUUGUAGAAUGAUUGAUUAUUUUUAAGAAAUAACAAGACAAGUUAUCUUGUGAACAUUUCUUCAAAUCCCCUAAAAAGUCAGAUAUUCCUAAUAUCAUGUUACUUCAAUAUCAAAAAGAUGAUCACGUACAAAAUUGCAUAAAAUUAAAAAUGAAAUAACAUUUUGUGAGCAAAAGUGAUCCAGUAGCGGAGCUCACACACUUCCAAAACAAGCACCUUUAUGGUAAUAAUUCCUCAGCUUCAUGUCUUUCCAGACUCCUCACCCCCCAGAGACCUUCAUUCAUCUUGAGAAAACAAAUUAAGAUAUUAUUGAUGAAACUGGAGAGCUUCCUCUUUCUCCGUGAACAGCAAUUGAUCCCAAAUAAAAAAAAAUACCAAAAACAUAAUCAAAACAGACCAUUUGCCGUCUGGUUCAUUAUGAAUAAAACGAGAAUACAAUUGUGAGCACAUAAAGCAAAAAUAAACCAUUUCUUCUUAGUGUCUGUAAAGGGCGCAUAUGCUCACGUUUGUAUGUGUGCCUAUGAUGCGCCUGUGAUGUGAUAUACAGUGCUUGUGAACGUGCGCAAUAUACUGACACUAAAGAGAAAGUAAACUGUUAAAUAGCCAUUUAUUUGUGCUCUGAACAUAACCGAAGGCCUGACACAAGGGUGAGUGAUUAAUAGUCAUUUUUAAGCCAACUUCAGAUCAGUGUGAAGAGUCAGUUUCUCCCUGGAGUGUGUGGAGCGUUGCUGAGUGGCCUUCCUAAACUGUGUUCUGGAUUGCCUUAUAAAUGUUGUAACCUGAGGGAAGUGAAGUGCAGUAUAUUUCCUCCUGCACUGAAGUGCUAAAUCGAAACUUGACCCAUUUACACCCGUAUAUUAACUGGUCAAUGUGUUACACUUUCUUUCUUUUUUUUUUGUCUAAUAUGUAUUUUACUUUAUAUAUUUUGCUUCAGCCAGGAUUGGUUCUAAUUACCCAGUUAUUAUCAUGUGGGUUUGUUCAGGUAGGAAAUGUAGCACUAUAUAUAUAUUUUUUUGGUUUUGACUGAAAACCUGAACAAUGUGGAUAUUAGACAAGGUCAGUUUUCUGGCUGAGAAUGCAAUAUUCUGUACACUGCAUUGCACCCGUGUCCCGUCAUUCAUUGUAUCCUCCUCAGAGUUUUUGGUAACCUAACGUUGUGCCUUGCAGAAUCACUGAUUGUAUCAUCCAACAUUGGAUGUAAGGUAUAUUCUGUAAUCUAAUCAGAAACGCGACUGAAGUAUGAGUUUAUUAAAAAGUGAAGCACUUAA